CGAUGAUCUCCAGCUUGCUGGGGGGAUUAGUGGCGAACGGGUGAGUAACACGUGAGUAACCUGCCCUUAACUCUGGGAUAAGCCUGGGAAACUGGGUCUAAUACUGGAUAUUUACCUGUCACCGCAUGGUGGUUGGUGGAAAGCUUUUUUGUGGUUUUGGAUGGACUCGCGGCCUAUCAGCUUGUUGGUGAGGUAAUGGCUCACCAAGGCGACGACGGGUAGCCGGCCUGAGAGGGUGACCGGCCACACUGGGACUGAGACACGGCCCAGACUCCUACGGGAGGCAGCAGUGGGGAAUAUUGCACAAUGGGCGCAAGCCUGAUGCAGCGACGCCGCGUGAGGGAUGAAUGCCUUCGGGUUGUAAACCUCUUUCAGUAGGGAAGAAGCCUUUUCGGAGGUGACGGUACUUGCAGAAGAAGCGCCGGCUAACUACGUGCCAGCAGCCGCGGUAAUACGUAGGGCGCAAGCGUUAUCCGGAAUUAUUGGGCGUAAAGAGCUCGUAGGCGGUUUGUCGCGUCUGCCGUGAAAGUCCGGGGCUCAACUCCGGAUCUGCGGUGGGUACGGGCAGACUAGAGUGAUGUAGGGGAGACUGGAAUUCCUGGUGUAGCGGUGAAAUGCGCAGAUAUCAGGAGGAACACCGAUGGC
rnacentral:rRNA from 1 species